ensembl:lncRNA
AUAAGAAAUUGAAAGGAAGCAGACGUUUAUGGUCUUUCUGUUUAGCAGGAACAUUUUUGUAAGUAAGAGGAUGCAUUCAGUUUAGAACAACAGAUCCCCACACUUGAGAUGAAUAUGCUGAUCCUGUUGUUAAGAUUCUAUAGGAAGAGAGAAGGAUGGGAAGUUCAAGUAUUUUGUAAACAAGAAGGCAAAGGCACCUGGAAAAGACUUCAGUGAGCCUCACUGCUCCUUUCAGUGCCCUCCCAUCACUCUGCCUACUAUACAUUGCCCGCAGAGUCUUCCAGGUGGACAAAGAAAGCCAGGUUGUUGACAAGCCAGGUAGAAGACCCCAGAAGAUCCCAAACUGCACUGGCAGUUCAUAUGACUGUUUAAUAUAUACAGCACUGUAAAGAAUCUGCAGGCUCCAGGAUUUUUUGUGGGUAACAUUACACCAUGUUUUUAUAAAUGGUUAUGUUUUAUCCUGCUGAUCCUUUAUCUCACUCUUGUCCUUUCCAGAAGUUCUAAUUUGGGAAUGAAAGUUUGCAAACUAUAUCAGAUCAACUUUUCUUACUCUCACAACUUGUGCAGAGAAAUGGAUUACCUGUGUUCAUCCUCUACCAUCAAUGGAGACAGAGUCAACACAGAAACUGGAGUUUUGAGCAUGAUUCAUCUGGCCGAAGAUCAACAUUUACCUCAGGAUGAGAGGGAUCAUGUCCUGGGUUCUGCUGUUUAGGUUUUAGUUGGGUUUAAAGAGAGCUUGAGGUCUGGCCCAGAUUGUACGUGCAGAUACCACAAGUCACCUGUGAAAUCAGACCACACAUCCCAAGUUGCUAUUGUUUUAUUUAUCUGGUGAGUACUGAGGGGUUGAGGGCCUUAUCUGCUCUGCCUUUGUUAUUAAAAACAAAACAGAACAAAUAGUUAAGUUUAACACUAGCUAAACUGCUUUGCACCAAAUACAGCCCCUAGUAAUUUUGUCUUAGGAACCACAGAACAAAUGAGUACAAAAGGUAGGCAGACCCAGCUGGUUUU